AGGAGGAACAACCACAGUGGCAGCGGCCAGCUCUGGAGCCCUGGAGUCAGCUCCCGCAGUAAAUACAGAGCUCUCAGCCUGCAAGGGCCUGGAUGCUCUGGUGGCGG
rfam:Canis lupus familiaris chromosome 1, whole genome shotgun sequence.